rnacentral:rRNA from 1 species
UACGUAGGGGGCAAGCGUUGUCCGGAUUUAUUGGGCGUAAAGAGCGUGUAGGCGGCUUUACAGGUCCGUUGUGAAAACUCGAGGCUCAACCUCGAGACGCCGGUGGAAACCGUAAGGCUAGAGUCCGGAAGAGGAGAGUGGAAUUCCUGGUGUAGCGGUGAAAUGCGCAGAUAUCAGGAAGAACACCCGUGGCGAAGGCGGCUCUCUGGGAGCGGUACUGACGCUGAGACGCGAAAGCGUGGGGAGCGAACAGG